CAGAUGUAUCUCGCGAUCUCUCUCCCUCCGUGACACGCGGUCACAGUCGAUCAAGAAAGUCCUCUCGUAACACGACGUGAAAAAAUUGAACUGUUGGCUGUCCAAUUUUUAUGUUUCCUGCUUCUAGAAUGCUUAAAAUGUAUAGAACACGUCAGCAAGAAGAGCCGGAAACGUAGCGGAGACUUUGACAAGCGUCAGAAAGAGACCGCGGGCAGAGACGCACUCGAGACGCAUCCUUUCGCUUCCGACGUGAAAAAGGGAAAUGAACGAGUGCACGAGCGUUCCUUUGAAGCGCGAACCGAGGUGGCAGGGGGUAAACGAGAGAUCUGGCGGCGGCUGGUGCAGCGGAUGUUUGAAGCCGCUGAAGAAAGCUGAGGCGGUGGUUCCUGUCGUGGCUUCCCUCGCGCUUCGUCUUCGUCGUCGCCGUCACUGCCUCUCGCGGUCCCCCGCGAUCCUCUUUCUCUCCGGUCAGCGUAGAAGGCACACAUUUCGGCGGAUGUGAUGUUUAGGACUGGAACCACCCCACAACUGACAAAAAGCCCUACGUCGUAUAAAUAGGCGGUGGUUGUUGCCACCGUGGUCGGCGCCGUUGGCGGUCGUAAACCGAUAUCACGCACGCUUUGACCCACAUAACUCGGAUUGAUUGUUUGUGAAGCGACGAGUGAUCGGUCUCGCUUUCCCGUUUAGAGAACGGUUCCUCAACGGAAAGAAAAGGGAUUGUACAAGUUGCGAGAUUCAUUAAACUUCAUCAAUGACCCAGCAAACACGUACCUAUGUUAUAUGACAUUACUUCUAUAUUAUAUUUGGUGUUUGCUGGGAAUUAUUAUAGUAAUCUUGAUUUGAUUUACUUUCCAUCUUGUUUUAAUUCUACAAAAAAAAUCCUACAUAACGAGCUGACGUUACUUAUCGUCAUUUUGACGUUAAAAUGUCGUUAAAGAUCUUAUUCUGAUAUUAAAGUGACGACAAAUAAUGUUAAUUUGCUACCUAGGAUAAAAAAUAAGUUAAACCGAGAUUAAAGUUAAUCCAAAUUGAUAAAAAUGGAUAUUAGUCAAAUCCAACAUUUACAACGUGGUUGACGUUUCAUUUACAGAUAUACCCAUGUAUUAUAAUCGUUGAAUUAAAAAUAAU